UAGGGAAUCUUGCACAAUGGGCGAAAGCCUGAUGCAGCAACGCCGCGUGAGGGAUGAAGGCCUUCGGGUUGUAAACUUCUGUUCUAAGGGAAGAAAGAAAUGACGGUACCUUAGGAGCAAGCCCCGGCUAACUACGUGCCAGCAGCCGCGGUAAUACGUAGGGGGCAAGCGUUAUCCGGAAUUAUUGGGCGUAAAGAGUGCGUAGGUGGUUACCUAAGCGCAAGGUUUAAAUUAGAGGCUCAACCUCUACAUGCCUUGCGAACUGGGCUACUUGAGUGCAGGAGGGGAAAGCGGAAUUCCUAGUGUAGCGGUGAAAUGCGUAGAUAUUAGGAGGAACACCGGCGGCGAAGGCGGCUUUCUGGACUGUAACUGACACUGAGGCACGAAAGCGUGGGUAGCAAACAGGAUUAGAUACCCUGGUAGUCCACGCCGUAAACGAUGAGCACUAGGUGUUGGGUCCGUUAGGACUCAGUGCCGCAGUUAACGCAAUAAGUGCUCCGCCUGGGGAGUACGCUCGCAAGAGUA
rnacentral:rRNA from 1 species